rnacentral:lncRNA from 1 species
GAUCUCUUGCAUGCUAUUGGAGUUACCUUUGGUGGCAUAAUUAGAUCUGAAAUCAAUGGUGAGUUUUGUCGCCUUAGAGUUAAUUUAGUUGUGCAGAAACCUUUAGAAGGGGUAUUUUUGUCUCAACAGAUAAUUGUAGUACAUCUUGGAUUCCUUUUAAAUAUGAGAGAUUACCUACUUUCUAUUUUGGCUGUGGAAGAAUGGGGCAUGGCCUUCAACAAUGUCAAGUGAUAAAACCUGCAGGAAAAUUCAAAAUUAGAGAUAACCCUCUUUUCUCUCUAGCGCUGAAAGCAGAAUUAAAUUUGCUUGGAAGAGAAAGUUUACAAUUUAAUGUUCUCUCAAAAAAGUUGCAACCAUAGUGUUUGUAUAUAGGAAGCUCAGAGGAGAGUCAAGGAGCACAUACACAAGAAGAAGAGAGUACUGAUUUGCUUUCGAAAAAAUAGGUUGACACUGGAUUGUUAGAAGUAGAGGAUAAGAAAGAGGGAUAAAAGGAAGAGAUACUCGUUGAAAGGAACGUCACUGGUAAUUAUUAUAUAGAUGACGACAUGUUGAAACCAACCAAGAAGUCCAGUUGGAAAAGAAUUGAGUCAAGGAAAAGGAGAAGCACUUAUGAGGGAGAGAGCAAAUUGCGAAAAAGGAAAUCAACAGAGGUUGAUGCUGAUGGGUGUGGUAUAGAAGGAUUCCUAGAAGAUAAAGUAAAAAAGAUGAGGUACGGUGGAAAGGAUUUGGAAUGUGAUGAUGGAGCAUAUUUGAUGGAAGAAAAUUUCAACAAAAAAGGAUCAACGGCUGCCAUGAGGAAAACCGACAGAACGCAAUGAAAAUAAUAUACUAGAAUGUCCGUGGACUGGGGAAUCCACGGGCAGUGAGAAGGCUUCGAUUUUUGCUGAAGCAACAAAACCCCUAAAUGGUCUUCUUUAUGGAGACUAAAAUUGAUGAAAAGCGGGUGGAGAAAAUUAGGAGAAGAUGUGGUUUUGGGAAUGGGAUUGAUGUCAGUACAGAAGGUUCUCGUGGAGGAAUUUGUCUAGCAUGGAAAGAAGAUGUCCAGGUUAGUUUGAAAAUGUUCUCAUUGACUCAUAUUGAUGUGCUAGUGAAAGAAGAGAAUAUCACGAAGGAAUGGAGGUUUACAAGCUUCUAUGGUUCACCUUAUAUACAUAAUAAAAAUGCCUCAUGGAAUCUAUUGAGGAUCUUGCGUUAGGAAUUGGAUCACCCUUGGCUAGUGGGUAGGGAUUUUAAUGAAAUAAUGUACUCUUUUGAAAAAAGCGGAGGUCAACCAAGAGAGGAGAAAAGGAUAGAAGCUUUCCGUGAGGUGCUAGAAGAAUUCCAUUUAACUGUUGUGGGUUAUAUGGGGAUAUGGUUUACAUGGGAAAGAGGAAAUAUGACAGAGACAAAUAUCAAGAAAAGGUUGGAUAGGGGUGUCGCGAAUGAAAAAUGGAUGAAGCUUUUUCCAAGAGGUAAUAUUCACCAUUUAACAUCUUUAUUAUCAUAUUAUUGCCCCCUUCUAAUUAAUACAACAACUGGAAAUAUUUUUAUGGGAAUUCCAAAAUUCAAAUUUGAGGCAUGGUGGACUAUGGAGGAAUCACUUGAACAAGAGGUCAUGGAAACGUGGGAGUCAUCAACUGGUCCGAUUGUUGAAAAAUUGCAAAUGUUGCUAAUCAGUUUGACAAGAUAGGCAAAAUCGAUAAAGAAGAAGCGGGACGAUUUGAAGAAUAAGCUUAUAAAGGGACUUGGAAACCUAAUGGAAAAAGAAGCAGAUGAUGAUAUACUGGAAAAAGCAAUGGAUACGAGAAUUCAGCUCAACAUGGAGAUAGAUAAAGAUGAAUUAUAUUGGGAACAACGAGCGCGAGCCAGUUGGCUCCAAUUAGAGGAUAGGAAUACAACCUUCUUUCAUAAGUUUGCAUCUACACGAAGAAGGAUAAACACAAUUAGCAGGUUGGAAACAAAUGAUGGCAAGGAAAUCUAUGAUGAAUCGGAAAUAAAAAGGGCGGCUACAGCUUAUUUCCAGAAUCUUUUUUCAUUUAAUGGCAUGGGGAAUCUAUCUCAUCUUUUAUCAGGUAUUGAUAACAGCAUUACACAAGACAUCAAUGCAACUUUAUUGGCAAAAUAUUCGGCAGAAGAAGUGUAUAUGGCAUUGAAAGGAAUGGGGCCCUCUAAAGCACCAGGCCAUUAUGGCUUCUCUGUAUUAUUUUUCCAAACUUUUUGGCACAUCGUGGACCCAGAUAUCGAAGAUUUUUGCUUGGUUGUCCUAAACGGAGGGAAGGAUUUCGACUCUUUAAACCAAACGGAAUUAGUACUUAUUCCAAAAAUCUCUAAUCCUACAAGUCUUGUGAAUUUUAGACCAAUUAGCCUAUGUACAGUUAUAUAUAAAAUUGUUGCCAAAACAAUUGCGAAUCGGCUUCAAGAAUUUAUUGGAAGAUGCAUUGACGAUGCUCAAAGUGCUUUGGUCCCGGGUAGGUUAAUAUCAGACAAUGUACUAAUAGCAUAUGAACUUCUACAUACACUACGGCAAAAACAGUUUGGGAAAAAGGGAUCAAUGGCAGUGAAAUUAGAUAUGAGUAAAGAUUAUGAUAGGGUUGUAACACCCCUAACCCAAAUCCGAUUGCGGGAUUAAGGUUAAGAGGUAUUACUGAACUAAACAUUUAAUUAUCUCAUUCACAGUGUCAAUAAACAUAAACAAAGAUCGAGCUGAAAUACAUACUGAUAUUUAAGUUAUACGCCAUUUUCGUAUGGCCAAAAUAUUUACAAUUUCAAAACAUUUUAAAUGUAUAGUACUUACUCGACGAUGGUUUACUGCGAACAUUCAAUAUCGUAAUCUUACUCAACUUACUGGCAUUAAGCCUGUCAGGUCUUAGGACUUGAAACCAAUUACCAACACAAGCCUGCGGGAAUUUAAACCCGGUAUAAUACCAGCUCGAAGCCUGCGGGACUUUAGCCCGGACAUAUUUCCAGCACGUAGCCUGCGGACCUUAAGUCCGGAUUUAAUUCCAGCACAUAGCCUGCGGACCCUAAGUCCGGAUAUAAUUCCAGCACAUAGCCUGCGGACCCUAAGUCCGGAUAUACAUCACUGAAUGUCAUGCAUACUUAUUCGCAAGAAAAUUCAAUUCACAUAACAUCUCACAAUCAUAGGUCAUUUAUUCCAUUCGAAUAAUAGAAUAACAUGGGCACCAUUCAUAUAAAUUUUGGCUCAAUAACAUACAUAAGAAUAUAUGUACAUUUUACUUUCGAAGCUUUCGACUUUAAGCCUUAAACAUAAAUUAUUUGUCACUCAACUAUAUUCAAAUAGAAUCAAUAGAUCGCAGUACAAUUAUCAUACACAUAUCAAGACAUUAUCAAUUACGUACUAAAUGUGACUACUCAAAACUUACCUCGGAUAUACUUGAACGGUUUCGAAAAGGCUACUCAAUUACUUUCUCUUUUCCCCUAUCCAACUUCGACCCUCUUUGCUCUUGAGCUUAAAUUCAAAAAUUUUAAACUAGUCAUUAUUCGACUAUUCAAGUAUUUCUUCAGAAAUAUAAUAUAUAUAUUCGACUUUCACACACAUAUAUCAUAGUAAGUUUAUAAGAAAACAUUAAGCAACUCCUUAACAAAUUUUCAUCAAUGAUUACCACAUAAUCACAAAUUCACAAUAAACUGUCUUCCUGAGCAAUAGUCACUAAAUUAUUUAUAAUUGGAGCUACGAAACUCCAAAUCAAUUGCCGUAAAAUUUCCCUGAAAAUAUACUCAUAUAUCUUUUAUCCAUAAAAUUUUCAGAAUUUUUAGUUUUGCCAAACAAUACCAGAUUUUUCUUAAAGUUUCCUCUGUUUCACUGUUUGACUAGUCUGACCACCCUUUACUACGAAUCAAAUUUCUAAUUGUACAGAAGUCAAAAUAUGUUCUCAUUGAUUUCAUUAGAAACUAGACUCAUUAAGAUUUAAUUACAUAAUUUAUUCAGCUUCUAACUCCACUCCCACAAUUUAUGGUGAUUUUUCAAAUUCACGUUACAGCUGCUGUCCCAAGCAGAUUUACUACAAUUUACUCUUUCACAACUCUUUGCAUUCAUAUUAUUUAAACAUGUAUAUCACCAAUCAAUUUCAUCACAAUUCUAUAAUUUCACUUAAGCAUAAUCUCAAUACAAUACAUCGUGUUCAAAUCAUUAUUCAAGUUCAAAUUCGACUAGCACACAUAUACAUACUAGCAACUAAGUAUUAACAUUGCAUUUCAUACUAUAACCGAAUGAAUAGCUCAUCAAAAUAUAUUUAUUCAUGUUCCCUUAACACAUAUUGGUCAACUAGAUCAUGCAUUAUUCUUUGGAACAUUUGGUCAUUAAAGCAAUCACCUAUUUAACUUUCAAGCAUUUUUAUACUAACAUAUCUCCCAAGGCCGAAUUCAUAUACAACCUUUAGUACUCAUUUAAAGUUAAUAUUUUAAGUAAUUUAUAUACACAACAUUAGCCAAAUAUCCAUUUACUAAGCAUUUUAACAAAUUUUCUAUUACCAAAUAAAUCACAUAUAUAUAACACUACUUAUUACACAUAUACAUCAACUAUCAAAAAUUCCCACUCCUUAGCUAUUGCCGUAUGCUUAUAUAAGUCUUGAGUCAUCUUUAACACAUUUAUCAAUCUUCCAAUUCAACUUAAUACAAAAAUAAUAUCAUUUAAACAGCCAACACCAAAACAUUUGUUCAAAUGGACCUAGUCGAAUACCUCACUUAGCUAAAUGAUUCACACAAAUCACUAAUAGCCAACUCAAAUUCAUCCUUAAUUUCUCCUAUAACAAAAUUCAUCAAAAUUUAAUAAGAAAUACAUCAAAUUCCAUGACCGAAUUUGCAUUUAUAAAAAAAAAAAAAAAACAAAAUCCUUGCAUCUCGUCAAUAUGUCCAAUUGCAAAAAUUGCUUAAUUCAUCACCUAAGCAACAUGAAACUCCAUUACAAUCACAAUUAUUCAUUCCUUAAAACCAACAUUCAACUAUCAAUAAUUUAGCAAAACUCAUGUAAAUGGCCGAAUGCUAUAUCCUCGACCAAAACUAAAGUUUUAACAUGGGCUACGUAAGAAACUAUGUAAUUAACUAAAUUUUCACAAGAAUUUGAAGAUAGCACAUGAAACAUACCUUAAUUUGGAUGCUAAAACAGCCGAAAGUUUGAUCUCUCCUAUCCCCUCUUUUUUUCUUUUAAGAAAUCGGCAAUGAAGAACAAGAGUAAUUAACCUUGUUCUUUUCACCCAUUUACUUAUUUUAUUAUAAUAUAAAAUUGUUAUUACAUAUUAUAAUACAUUUAUAUAUAUAAAUACAUAUAAAAUUUAUACUUUCGACCAUUAUAAAAAAAAUGGCAAUUUGACAUGCACAUCCUUAUGAUUUUUAAACCAUAUAGUAAUAAGCCAUCACAAAACUAGCACAUUUUCAAAAUUCUCACACAAGUCCCUUUCAAUAAAUUUCAGUCAAAGCACCACAAAUUCACAUAUGCAUUUUCACACAAAUUAAGCACGAAAUUUAACAUUCAAUUAUUUUCACGACUCGGUUUAGUAGUCCCGAAACCACUUCCCGACUAGGAUCAAAUUAGGGCUGUCACAAGGGUGGAGUGGGGUUUUUUGAAGGCAGUAAUGCUUCGAAUGGGAUUCGCAGAAGAAUGGGUGGAACUAGUUAUGAGGUGUAUCUCCACUACCUCGUAUGUAGUAACCAUAAAUGGGAGAAGUGAUAUUUUCAAACCUACAAGAGACCUCCGACAAGGCAAUCCACUUAGCCCUUUUCUUUUUCUAAUAUGUAGCGAAGGGUUAUCUUCUUUGAUUAGGCUGGCGACGAAAGAGGGAUUGAUAAAGAGUGUUAAGGCUAGUAGAAGAGGACCAGUAAUUUCACAUUUACUAUUUGCAGAUGAUUGUAUUUUGUUUGGUGAAGCUACAAAAGGUGGAACAAGGAUUUUAAAGGAUAUUUUAAGGGAAUAUGAACGAUGCUCCAGUCAAUGCGUAAACUUCAAUAAAUCAACCAUUUUCUUUAGCUUAAAUAUGAUAGAGGAGGACAAAAAAGAAAUCUCAAAUGAUAUGGGAGUGAGGUGCUUGAUAAAUAUGGAAAAAUAUCUAGGCCUCCCUAAUGUGGUGGGUAGACGAAAGAAGGAUUCGUUUCAAAAUCUUAAGGAUAGAAUUAGGCAGAGAAUUGCAAACUGGAGCACAAGACUAUUAUCUCAAGGAGGAAAGGAGGUGUUAAUAAAGUCCGUACUCUAAGCAAUACCAACCUAUGCAAUGACAUGUUUUCUUUUACCUAAGGCACUUUGUGGGGAUUUUAAAAGUAUUUUUUCUAGAUUCUGGUGGCAAAAAGGUAAAGGGAAACGAGGAAUUAAUUGGUGUCAAUGGAAAUUUAUGUGCUGUCCUAAAGGGGAGGGAGGAAUGGGCUUCAGAAAUAUGGCACAAUUUAACCUUUCAUUAUUAGCAAAGCAAGGAUGGAGGAUUAUUAAUAAUCAGAAUUCUCUCAUUACACGAGUUUUUAAAGCAAAAUAUUUUCUAAACGAUAAUUUUUUAAAUUCUCAACUGGGAAACUCUAGUUCUUAUGUUUGGAAAAGUAUUUGGGCAGCUAGAGGUGUAUUGGAAAAAGGAUUAUCCUGGAAGGUUGGUACAGGGCUUAACAUCUCUAUCAAUUAUGAUGCUUGGAUACCAGACGCGACAAUUUUAGACUAUCUACAGAGAUUAAUGCUAUGCGUGAUCUUAAAGUAAGUAAUUUGAACGAUAGCAACAAUAGAAUAUGGAAUAAGGAGCUAAUUCGUAAUACCUUCCCAGUAGAAGAUGCUGCAAAAAUCCUUCGUAUUCCCUUAGCACUAGCACCUCACAAUAAUUUCCUCACGUGAGGGCCGAAGCUUCGGGCGAAUUCUCGGUACGUAGCGCCUACAAACUAUUAUAAGUUUUUGAUAGAAUUACUAGAGCUUAUGCUUUACUGACCAUUUAUAGCAAUUUUUACAAAAAAAAAUCUGGCUACUAAAUCUACCAGCAAAAAUAAAGUUUACAAUCUGGAAACUUUCAUGGAACUAUCUGCCUACAAAAACUAAUAUGCUGAGUAGGAAUCUAGCAAUCAAUACAAAUUGUCCUCGGUGUGAGGGGAGGGCUGAAACCAUUGAUCAUCUAUUCCGAGAAUCCCUGUUACAGUGGAAGUAUGGAUAGCGUUAUCCAUCCAGAAUAUAGUCAUAGUACAAAAUAUGGAAUUCUUACGGUGGCUUACCUGGGUUUUUGAGCAGUCCACUCCUUGCGAGUGUAGUCUUUUCUGCUGCGGCUUUUGGGCCAUAUGGGGAGAUAGAAAUAAAAGAAUACAUACAGAAAGGUUAGUACUGGUAAGGAGGUUGCAAACUUCAUCAUCAACUACAAUAAUGAGAUCUCUGUUUUUGGAAAAAAAAUUUAGGAGAAAGAGCAGAUAAUGAAAGAUGGCAGUUACCACCUAAUGGGUUCUUCAAGAUCAAUUUUAAUGUUGCGUACAAUGAAAGGCUACAACAGUCGGACUCUGGCAUAGUCGUUAAAAAUAAGGAAGGAAGAGUUCUCUUAUCUUGUUCAGAGAUACAUCAAGAAAUUACCUCAGCUUUUGCUGUUGAAGCAGUAGCAUGUCGGAAAGCAGUUCAGAUAAGGGUAGAAAGGGGUUGGCAGUCUAUCAUCAUCGAAGGUGAUUCCCUCGCAAUAAUCAGAAAAUGCAAGUCACAAAGUCAGGAUCGGUCACUGGUAGCGUCAUAUAUAUACGAUAUACAAUAGAUGACAAAGAGAUCUAAUAUAGUCAGUUUCAAACACACACCGAGACAAGCAAACGCCCUUGCUCAUCUCCUGGCAACAGAAACUUUAAAACGAAGGGAGGAGGUGUACCUAGAAAUGGAAGUCCCUACAUAUGCUGAAGAUCAAAAACGGAUUGAUUGGGUGCGUGAACCGGAUUGAGGAGUCUGUUGGGGAAGAAGGAAGGAGGAGAACAAGCUUCAUUGAAAAACUUUUGAAAAUAGGCUUUUGGAAGACUGAAAUCGUCAAAACUGAUAGAAAUGACGGAAAGAUAGUCUGCAGUUUUCAGAACGUUUUGAUUGGGCAAUGGUUCGGCGCAUUAAUUGCGGUUCCAGAAUUUUCUUUAAAAUAUCUAGAUUGUUUGUUAUGUUUUAGGAUAGCUGUUUAUUUUGUGUUCUCUUAUUUUGGGCCUUUCUUUUUUGGGCCGUGCUAUUUCGUUAAUUUUGGAUUAGUUUAUCCAGUGAACAUUUUUGUAUUCACUUUAUUAUAUUUAUAAAAACCCAAUCUGAUUUUUC